UCGGGCUUGCAGGCGCCCGGUGAGACGGAUCUUCCGUCCAAGUCUGC
rnacentral:ncRNA from 1 species